CCUGGCUCAGGACGAACGCUGGCGGCGUGCCUAAUACAUGCAAGUCGAACGGUCUUUUUCUAUGGAAGCUUGCUUCCACUGAGAAGAUAGUGGCGAACGGGUGAGUAACACGUGGGUAACCUGCCCAUAAGAGGGGGAUAACAUCCGGAAACGGGUGCUAAUACCGCAUAGUUUUCUUGAUCGCAUGAUCGGGAAAGGAAAGACGGCCUUUGUGCUGUCGCUUAUGGAUGGACCCGCGGCGUAUUAGUUAGUUGGUGAGGUAACGGCUCACCAAGACGAUGAUACGUAGCCGACCUGAGAGGGUGAUCGGCCACAUUGGGACUGAGACACGGCCCAAACUCCUACGGGAGGCAGCAGUAGGGAAUCUUCCGCAAUGGACGAAAGUCUGACGGAGCAACGCCGCGUGAGUGAAGAAGGUUUUCGGAUCGUAAAACUCUGUUGUCAGAGAAGAACAAGUUGGAGAGUAACUGCUCCAGCCUUGACGGUAUCUGACCAGAAACGCCACGGCUAACUACGUGCCAGCAC
rnacentral:rRNA from 1 species